GACGAACGCUGGCGGCGUGCUUAACACAUGCAAGUCGAACGAUGAAGCCUAGCUUGCUAGGUGGUUUAGUGGCGGACGGGUGAGUAAUACGUGAGUGUCCUACCUUUGACUCUGGGAUAAGCCUGGGAAACGGGGCUUAAUACCGGAUACGACAGAUCUCGGCAGGGGGUGUUGGUGGAAAGCGUUAUGGGGUGGUUUUAGAUGGGCUGACGGCCUAUCAGCUUGUUGGUGAGGUAAUGGCUUACCAAGGCGACGACUGGUAGCCGGCCUGAGAGGGUGACCGGGCACACUGGGCCUGAGAGACGGACCAGACGCCUAUGGGAGGCAGCAGUGGGGAAUAUUGCACAGUGGGGGCAAGCGUGAUGCAGCGACGCCGCGUGAGGGAUGACGGCCUUCGGGUUGUAAACCUCUGUUAGCUUAGAAGAAGCGAAAGUGACGGUAGGUGCAGAGAAAGCACCGGCUAACUACGUG
rnacentral:rRNA from 1 species